rnacentral:rRNA from 1 species
CGGCCUCAGAUCAGACGUGGUGACCUGCUGAAUAUAAGCAUAUUACUAAGCAGAGGAAAAGAAACUAACCAGGAUUCCCUCAGUAACGGCCAGUGAAAAGGGAAGAGCCCAGCGCUGAAUCCCCAUUCAGCAGCAGGCGUGGGAAAUGUGGCGUAGAGAAGACCGACUCCUGGCAUCGCUCAGGGGGCUCAAGUCCUUCUGAUUGAGUCCCACCACUCAGAUGGUGUUAGGCCGAUAGCGGCCUCUUGCACACCGGGAUCAGGUCUUCUUGGAGUCAGGUUGCUUGUGAAUGCAGCCCAAAGCGUGUGGUAAACUGUCUAAGGCUAAAUACAGGCACGAGACUGAUGGCCAACAAGUACCGUAAGGGAAAGUUGAAUAGAAGUUAGAAGAGAGUUGAAGAGGGCGUGAAACAGUUGAGAGGUAAGAUGGUGGGGUCUGUGCAGUCCGCCCACAGGAUUCAACACGGCAGGCAGGUUGGUUACCUGGAACGGGGGGAGGCCCUUGGGGUCUGCGCCGGGCACAUCCAGCCCCAGCAGGGCGCAUUUUCCUCUGUAGCGGUGCACCACGACCGGCUGGGAAGGCCCCAUGGGGCAGGUGGCUCUCUGCUCCAGCAGAGAGUGUUACAGCCCCUGGCGCAGUUUGUGCUGUGUCCACGGGGCUGAGGGAGAUAGACCGUCACUGCACCCUUAUCCGGCAACCGUCCUGGCCCCUCUUGAGGGUCGCUAGAGUGGCGAAGGAAGACAGGGUUCCCAAUGCGACUGUGGUGGACUGCCCUCAAUACGCCCCGACCACAUCUUGCUGCUGGGCUGGGAGGCCCACAAAGGGCACCAGGGGUCUGAGGUGAUGUUGGUUAACCACCCAACCUGUCUGGAAACACUGAACAAGGAGUAUGUAUAACACAUGCCUGAGUUAGAGGGCCAAAUUAAACCCUGUGAUGUAAUGAUGUUGAGGGCUGGUGCUCGCCGAUUGCAGUGGCGUCCUGUCGCAGUGGGCCCUCCAAUGACCCGUCUCGCCGGCUCUGUCAGAGAGAUGAUGCAUGAGCGUGUGUGAUAGUACCGGAAAGAUGGUGAACUCGGCGAGUAGGAGGGCUGCUGCGGUGCGCACAGAAGCCCGGGGCGAGGGCCCGGGUGGAGCCGCUGCAGGUGCAGAUCUUGGUUGUAGUAGCAAAUAUUCAAACAAGAACUUUGAAGGAUGAAGUGGAGAAAGGUUUCAUGUGAACAGAAGUUGAACAUGGGUCAGUCGGUCCUAAGAGAUAGGUUGAGCGCCGUUCGGAAGGGAUGGGUUAUGGCCUCCGUUGCCCUCAGCCGAUUGAAAGGGAGUUGGGUUCAGAACCCAGAGUGGCAGAGACGGGCACCCUUGCGGCGUCUAGUGCGGUAACGCAAAUGAUCCCAGAGAAGCUGGCGGUAGCCGCAGGGGGGAGUUCGAAGGGCAGAGCACCCUGGAAUGGGUUUGCCCCGAGAAAGGGGCCUGAGCCUUGGAAAGUGUUGCAGUUCUGGCGGCAUCCGGUGAGCUCUUGCUGGUCCUUGAAAAUCUGGGUGAGAUGUUGUAAAUCUUGCGCCAAGCCGUACCCAUAUCCGCAGCAGGUCUCCAAGUCGGACAGCCUCUGGCAUGUUAGAACAAUGUAGGUACGGAAGUCGGCAAGUGGAUCUGUAACUUCGGGAUAAGGAUUGCCUCUAAGGGCUGGGUCGGUCAGGCUGGGGCACGAAGCAGGGCUGGGUGUGCACCAUGGCUGGAUGAGGCGUCUUCCCCCCCCCCUCACCCCUCAGGGGGGCAGCUCUGCUUCUGGAUGCGAGCCGGGCCCUUCCUGUAGAUCACCCCAGCUGCAGUGUUCGCCUCUCUCGUUCCCCCUCCUGGGGUUCAGGGCCGGCAUUCGUCCUCGGCCGACACCUAGAAGCUGACUUGGAACUGGUGCGGACCAGGGGAAUCUGACUGUUUAAUUAAAACAAAGCAUUGCAAAGGCCCAUGGAGGGUGUUGACGCAAUGUGAUUUCUGCCAAGUGCUCUGAAUGUCAAAGUGAAGAAAUUCAAUGAAGCGUGGGUAAACGGCUGGGGUAACUAUGACCUUUAAGGUAGCCAAAUGCCUUGUCAUCUAAUUAGUGAUGUGCGUGAAUGGAUGAAUGAGAUUCCCACUGUCCCUACGUACUAUCUAGCAAAACCACAGCCAAGGGAACAAGCUUGGCAGAAUCGUCGGGGAAAGAAGACAAGGUUGAGUUUAACUCAAGUCUGGCACUGGGAAGAGACAUGAGAGGUAGGAUAAGUGGGCGGCCCUUGGGCCGCUGGUGAAAUACCAUACUCUUAUUGUUUUUCCACUUACCCGGUGAGGCGGUGGCGAGCCCCGCGGGGCUCUCGCUUCUGGCUCCAAGCGCCCGGCACCUGCUGGGCACGACCCGCUCGGGGACAGUGGCAGGUGGGGAGUUUGACUUGGGUGGUACACCUGUCAAAGGAUAACGCAGGUGUCCUAAGGCGAACUCGGCAAGGACAGAAACCUCCUGCAGAGCAGAAGGGCAAAAGCUAGCUUGAUCUCGAUUUUUCAGUGUGAAGACAGACCGUGAAAGCGGGGCUUCACAAUCCUUCUGACUUUGGGUUUCAAGCAGGAGGUGUCAGAAAAGUUACCACAGGGAUAACCGGCUUGUGGCUGCCAAGCCUUCAUAGCAAUGUCGCUUUUUGAUCCUUCGAUCUCGACGCUUCCUAUCAUUGUGAAACAGAAUUCACCAAGCAUCAGAUUGUUCACCCACUAAUAGGGAACGUGAGGUGGAUUUAGACCGUUGCGAGACAGGUUAGUUUUACCCUACUGAUGAUGUGUUGUUGCAAUAGUAAUGCUGCUCAGUACGAGAGGAACCACAGGUUCAGACAUUUGGUGUGCAUGCUUGGCUGAGGAGUCAAUGGGGUGGAGCUACCAUCUGUGGGAUUAUGACUGAACGCCUCUGAGUCAGAAAUCCCCCCUCCACCUCCCAGACCAUGAUACUGCAGCGCUGUCGAGCAUUGGUUGGCUUAGGAUAGCCGGCCUCGGGGCCGGUGUGUAGAGCCGCUCGCCUCAGGCUUUGAGUGUGGACAGAAGGGGCCACCUCUCUCACCCGUAGUGCACCGCAUGUUCGUGGGGAAUCUGGUGCUAAAUCAUUCGUAGACAACCUGAUUCUGGUUCACGGUUUCGUAAGUAGCAGAGCAGCUACCUUGCUGCGAUCUAUUGUAAGUCAUCCUCUGAGCCAAGCUU